GAUGAACGCUGGCGGCGUGCCUAAUACAUGCAAGUCGAGCGAACAGAUAAGGGGCUUGCUCCUUUGACGUUAGCGGCGGACGGGUGAGUAACACGUGGGUAACCUACCUAUAAGACUGGAAUAACUCCGGGAAACCGGGGCUAAUGCCGGAUAACAUUUAGAACCGCAUGGUUCUAAAGUGAAAGAUGGUUUUGCUAUCACUUAUAGAUGGACCCGCGCCGUAUUAGCUAGUUGGUAAGGUAACGGCUUACCAAGGCAACGAUACGUAGCCGACCUGAGAGGGUGAUCGGACACACUGGAACUGAGACACGGUCCAGACUCCUACGGGAGGCAGCAGUAGGGAAUCUUCCGCAAUGGGCGAAAGCCUGACGGAGCAACGCCGCGUGAGUGAUGAAGGUCUUCGGAUCGUAAAACUCUGUUAUUAGGGAAGAACAAAUGUGUAAGUAACUGUGCACGUCUUGACGGUACCUAAUCAGAAAGCCACGGCUAACUACGUG
rnacentral:rRNA from 1 species